UCCCAAAUGGAUAUAUCCAGUUGUGCACAAUACAUCAUUUMGUUCAAAAAAGGGACUUUUUACUUCUUGGACAAAGAUUUAACUGACCGACUAAACAGCGAGUUGUAAGAUUGCAACGUGAAGGAGCAGAUUGCCUCCAUGAGACGUAAUGAAGGAAACAGCGCCAUUAUAUUAAAGUUUAUGCCUAGUAUGCUAAUGGAAUAAUGACAAACCACGCUUGCGAAAAGCAUGGUGUAUGUAUUGUACAAUUUCUAUGACGAUCAGAUGUUCUUCAAUACCCAUUCAUAGGUAUGA